ACCAAUCACUUUUUAUUAAUUCAUGUCCGUGUUUACAAAGGCUUUUGUACCAAAAACACAAAUAGACUGCUAACUGUUCAUCAGAAACACUCUAGGUUUGUCCCAGAAAUGUCUAGUCUUCUUCAGCUAAAUCACUUCAUUUAUUAGAUUUAGAUGAUUUGUUUGAGAUGCUCUCCCUGUGAUUCUAACUAACUUAUAGUUUAAUUUUAAAAUAAAAUGAGGUUUCCUUGGUAAAUUAUACAAUCUGCCUGAAAAUUUGUUUAAAAAAAAAGACCCCAUCUGUCAUGAUCAGAAUAGAAUAGAAUAGAAUACUGUAUUUGUCAAUUCUUCGAAUGUGCUUGCCAUGCAAGGAAUUGAAAUUACGUUUCACACUGUCCCAUGCGUAGACAUUUACAUAAAGUGCAGAUGCAUAACAAUAACAAAACAAAAAACAUCCCUAACAAUAAGAUAAUAUUAAACAGGUAAAUAUCGCUAAUAAUAUACAAAACAUAUAGCAGCAGGUGUGUGCAAUUUCAAAGCAGAGGUAGUUGUUUACAAUCAAAAAUGUUUGCCCCGUUAUUGGUUCAACCACUAUUUCCAUUUUGUAUAAUGUGUGUGUGUGUGUGUGUGUGUGUGUGUGUGUGUGUGUGUGUGUGUGUGUGUGUGUGUGUGUGUGUGUGUGUGUGUGUGUGUGUGUGUGUGUGUGUGUGUGUGUGUGUGUGUGUGUGUGUGUGUGUGUGUGUGUGUGUGUGGUGGGGUGUAGGGUCCAGUCUGUCAUCCUAUACUCCUGUCACCCUGGUGAUUCUGCUGGCUGGGAUCUGUGAGGGAAGAGAGUUCAGCAGUCUCACAGCUUGGUGGACGAAGCUGUUGGUGAGCCUGGUAGUGCGGGAGCGGAGACUUCUGUAUCUCUUUCCAGAGGGCAGGAGGCUGAACAGACAGUGCGCAGGGUGGGUGGCGUCGUUGACAAUUGUGAUGGCUUUGCGGGUGAGGCGAGUGGUGUAAAUGUCUUGCAGGGAGGGGAGUGGUGCACCAACUAUCCUCUCAGCUGUUCUCACAAUGCGCUGUAUGUAUGUAUGUAUCAUAUGCCCUGAUCUCUGUGUUUUCCUGUCUCCCUGCAGCAGCAGUAAUCUAGCUGAUUAAUUCCACCUGUGCUGCUCCCUAUUUAAGCACCUGGCUCCUGCUGCUCAGUGCAGAUCGUCUGCUGCCCUGUUACAGUUCCUUGAGUGUUUGCGACCGACCGACCGACCGACCGACCGACCGACCGACCGACCGACCGACCGACCGACCGACCGACCGACCGACCGACCGACCGCAGUCUGUCUGACCACGGAACCCGUCUAUUACCUCAGUUCCAGCCUGAAUCUGAGUACUCGCCUUCAUAGGCAUCCCUCACCACUGAACACCGCUGCUGUUUUCAGAAGGCCACGCCACCCGGAACUGACUCCAGAUGGUCCCGAUCGUGUUAACAAGUCCUUAAACUCUUUAAAACUUUCUCUCUGUUUGGCUAUUGAAUCCGGCUGAUCGUCACUAGGGUUGCAAAGGUAAUAGGUACAGGAAGGAAGUCCAAACAUCAUUCUGUGGGAUCCCAAGGUGUUCCCAGGCAAGAGGAUUUGUAAUCUCUCCUGCAGUUUCUGGGUUUUCCCCAGGGUCUCUUCAGUGCUGGAAAAUCUCCAAAGGAAGGUGACCAGGGGGCCUCUUAUCAGCUGCAUGAGCCAAAAGCGCUACACCCUCACCCCUGGUUAUGAAGCUUCUCACCUUAUUUUUAUGACCGAGUCCAACCAACCUAAGAGGAAACUUCUUUUUCUUGAGGUCAUGAUCCAAAUCCAUGUAGAUGAGUAGGAAUGUAGACAGACCAGUAAAUCAGAAGCUUACAUUUCAGUCCCUUGUUCACCACAGAACUCCAGAGCAAAGUCCGUACAGAAACAAUGAUCCUUCUAUCUGUCCAAAAAACAGAUACCAAAGAUGAUGAAACUAAUCUGUUCUCUGUUUGGGAUUAAGGCUCAUUCCACCUUUUUCCAUUCAACAACCAUGGAAAUUCAGUUCCUUAAAAAAAAUCUCUCAGGAUCAUCCAACAGUGACUUGAUUGAAACUUCCUCACAAACCAUCAGAUGGUGUCAGAAGUAACUGAUUCGGUUGGAUGGAAUAUUUGCAUGAUGAAUAAAUUGUUUUAAAACAACUAAGGAAAACAAUUAAGAAAAAGUACAUGUUACUAUUGCACACAGAGCUGUU